rnacentral:rRNA from 1 species
GUGUCAGCAGCCGCGGUAAUACGUAGGUGGCAAGCGUUGUCCGGAGUUACUGGGCGUAAAGGGCGUGUAGGCGGCCUUUUAAGUCAGACGUGAAACCCCUGGGCUUAACCCAGGAACUGCGUUUGAAACUGGAGGGCUUGAGGACCGGAGAGGGUAGUGGAAUUCCCAGUGUAGCGGUGAAAUGCGUAGAUAUUGGGAGGAACACCAGUGGCGAAGGCGACUGCCUGGACGGCACCUGACGCUGAGGCGCGAAAGCUAGGGGAGCAAACGGGAUUAGAUACCCCGGUAGUCCUAGCUGUAAACGAUGGGUACUAGGUGUGGGAGGUAUCGACCCCUUCCGUGCCGCAGUUAACACAAUAAGUACCCCGCCUGGGGAGUACGGCCGCAAGGUUGAAACUCAAAUGAAUUGACGGGG